ACCUGAUGUUACAUUGUAGUGUGCUGAUG
rnacentral:piRNA from 1 species